CCUACGGGUGGCAGCAGUAGGGAAUCUUCGGCAAUGGACGAAAGUCUGACCGAGCAACGCCGCGUGAGUGAAGAAGGUUUUCGGAUCGUAAAACUCUGUUGUUAGAGAAGAACAAGUAGGAGAGUAACUGCUCUUACCUUGACGGUAUCUAACCAGAAAGCCACGGCUAACUACGUGCCAGCAGCCGCGGUAAUACGUAGGUGGCAAGCGUUGUCCGGAUUUAUUGGGCGUAAAGCGCGCGUAGGCGGUUUUUUAAGUCUGAUGUGAAAGCCCACGGCUCAACCGUGGAGGGUCAUUGGAAACUGGAGGACUUGAGUGCAGAAGAGGAGAGUGGAAUUCCAUGUGUAGCGGUGAAAUGCGUAGAUAUAUGGAGGAACACCAGUGGCGAAGGCGACUCUCUGGUCUGUAACUGACGCUGAGG
rnacentral:rRNA from 1 species